rnacentral:rRNA from 1 species
AUUGAACGCUGGCGGCAUGCUUUACACAUGCAAGUCGACCGGCAGCACGGACUUCGGUCUGGUGGCGAGUGGCGAACGGGCGAGUAAUACAUCGGAACGUGCCCAGUUGUGGGGGAUAACUACUCGAAAGAGUAGCUAAUACCGCAUGAGAAAUGAGGUUGAAGGCAGGGGAUCGUAAGACCUUGCGCAACUGGAUCGGCCGAUGGCAGAUUAGGUAGUUGGUGGGAUAAAAGCUUACCAAGCCGACGAUCUGUAGCUGGUCUGAGAGGACGACCAGCCACACUGGGACUGAAACACGGCCCAGAAUCCUACGGGAGGCAGCAGUGGGGAAUUUUGGACAAUGGGCGAAAGCCUGAUCCAGCAAUGCCGCGUGCAGGAUGAAGGCCUUCGGGUUGUAAACUGCUUUUGUACGGAACGAAAAGCUUCGGGCUAAUACCCUGGAGUCAUGACGGUACCGUAAGAAUAAGCACCGGCUAACUACGUGCCAGCCGCCGCAGUAAUAC